CUAUUUUUCAAUUUCUUCCACUUACUUGAUUAUCAAUCCUGAUUCCUUAAUUUUAUAAACUUUAUCAAAAUUUAAUUAGGUUUUUGCCUGAAUACAUUUUUGAAAACAUGUGAAUGGGACUUCAGGAUAGUUACUAUAUAUACUUACAGAUUUCAGAGCUAAAUGAUUCUGAUUUGAGUUCCAAACACCACCUAAAUAUUAACAAAAACUCGCACAACAACUAAGUCUUCUCAAGUCAGCGAUAAACCUAAUUCAUGCAAUCAUAUUGCAUGUCUAUCUCGUUUCUAUAGCUAUUCUAGUUACUAAAAUGAUCAUUCAAUUUAACUUUUCUUUAUUUUGUCUAUUUGAUUAAUUACAUAAUUUAGUAAAUAAUACUUUCUUAUCAUUUUAUAUUAAUCUUGCUUUAAUUAAUUAAUAAUUUCUUUUUAAUUUAUUUUAUCUAUUAUUCAUUCCAUCCUAAAAAAAAUAUUCUUUUUCUAUUUUCUUAAUUCAUUUUCUUAUAUCAUUUAUUAUAUUCAAAACAAAAU
rnacentral:lncRNA from 1 species